rnacentral:tRNA from 1 species
GACCGCGUAGCUCAGUUGGAAGAGCAUUGGGCUAGUAUUCCAAAGGUCGUAGGUUCGAAUCCGACCGUGGCUG